AACAAGGCUUCGUGCAGGUCACAAGCUCAAGUGCUCAGAACAUCACAUGGCAGGUCGCUGAUGGUGCUAAGACUCUCUUCGCUUGUGCCCAGGCCACCGUGGACGCUGCCAAACUGAUGUUCAAGUUCAAUGGCGUGUCCUGCAUGAUCGCCAUGAAUGGUUUCUAUAAUCCAUGGAAUGAUGCAUGCGAUGGUGAGGAGGUCUAUGUCGGCUAUGAUGGUACAAGUGGAUGCCUCACUCUUUUUGGCGGGUUUUUGGAUGGCCAAAACAUAACGAAUG